CAAUGCAGAAUAAUAAGUAGCACAAGCCAGGAAGUCAGAAUAAGAAGCCAUUGGUAUCAAACUCAGCUUUACCUUAUGACAGUGACCUUGGGCACCUCCUUUGUGAAACAGAGGCCAAACAUCUGCCCUCAGGGGCUGCUUUUGAGGCCUGAGUAAGAAGGAAGAAGAGGGAUCAAGUGAGUCGACCUAGGCAAAAAACAAACAGAACCAGAAAGGAAGGAGAAGCUGCAUGAAAUGAGUUUGAGCAGUGUUGUAGACAAAGCCAACCAGUAUCAUCAGGCUCAGAAACAUGGAGGUUGAGGUAAUUGUUGUCACAGAUCUUGAUAUGUGCUCAGAUCUCAGAAUCACAGGUUUAUCAGGAAGGAUGAACACCUGAGGCAAGUUGUCGGCCUUUAGACUCAGACCUGCUCGGCGAGCCCCCGGAUCCUUCAUACAGUCUGCUGUCCCAGCUGUCUUGUUAUCUCAGAAAGCCGAGGAGCUCUAGUGAGGACGAAGGUGAAGAGUGCAGUGGCUGCAGCCUUGAGCAGGAUUAACCUGAAUGUGGUAACAGAAAACCUCUCUGUGCAAACAAGUGCUCUAAUCCUGCAUCUUCUGCUUUGAGGAAAGAGGUUUUUGUGGUUUCCCACUACGUGAACAACUUUGGCAGCUGUCGAGGAGCCUAGAAAAUAGGAAAUAGCUGUAAAGACACUUCUGAGUGGGGAGAGAUGAGAGCAACAUCCUGAAAUCCAGGCACAGUGACUAAGGAGAAUCAUCUGUUGUUCUCUGUCUGCAGAAUUGUCUAUCAUUCUCUGUCUGCAAAGUCCAGUGACCAACAGCGACUAACAGUGACCAACAGUGACCAACAGCAACCAAUAGUGACCAACACCAACAGUGACCAACAGUGACCAACAGUGACCAACAGCGACCAACAGUGACCAACAGUGACCAACAGCAACUAGCAAUGACCAACAGUGACUAACAGUGACCAACAGCAACCAACAAUGACCAACAGUGACCAACAGCAACCAACAGUGACCAACAGCAACCAACAGCGACCAACAGUGACCAACAGUGACCAACAGCAACCAACAGUGACCAACAGUGACCAACAGCAACCAACAUGACCAACAGUGACCAACAGUGACCAACAGUGACCAACAGUGACCAACAGUGACCAACAGUGACCAACAGCAACCAACAAUGACCAACAGUGACCAACAGUGACCAACAGUGACCAACAGUAACCAACAGUGACCAACAGCAACCAACAGUGACCAACAGUGACCAACAGCAACCAACAGUGACCAACAGUGACCAACAGUGACCAACAGUGACCAGCAAUGACCAACAACCCACAUACUGCCUCUGAGGGCCCUAGUGUUUAUAUACCCUCUGAAAAAUCCCCAAAUUCCAAAUGUCACACAACCACAGAAAUGAUGUGCCACUGGCAAAAUCAUGCCCCUGCCAGAGUAAGAGGGUGUGGAUGCGUUGCAGCUUGGGUUCCUAUUCUCCCUGAUACAACACAGCUGGGUCACUUCUAUGGCCCACGAAGGUCUUCCUGGCUGGUGGCUCACCUGCUAGUCUUCUGAUGUGCCCACAAGGGCUUGUGUUGGAAGUGGUGAGCACAGAGCACGAAUGUGCCCCACUCUCUGGUCUUACGGGGUGCCUUAUGUUUGCUUCCUUUCAGGGACAGUAAUGGGGGCUCUCAGAAGUUGUUUAAAUAUUCAUUUCACUAGCCAUCAAUUGGAUAGGAAUGCAAGAGAAGAAGCAGCUUUUUAAGUGUUUAGAAGCUGUAAGAUCAUUGUGUGUACAUUUCAGGAUUGAUUUUGCUGAAGCAACACAAUACUCUUAAGAAAUAUGUAGCUGUACUUUCUCUCUACCGUAAAAUCCCCUUGAGAUUUAAACCCCACCUCCUGUUCAAGCCCAUUUCUUGUACUCAACCAUGUAAUUUUUUUUUUCUUUUGGCAGAAAGCAGUGUUAACAGGCUUUAAUGAGGGAUUCUCUUAUUUUUCUUGUUUGGUUGUUGUUUUGUUUCUUUUCUUGGGGAAGCUAGAUCUGUGUGUCCUAUCUCAGAAAUCAACAGACAUAUUUAAAGUGGGGAACAAACAUGCAAUGCUUGCAAAUGUCCCCGGACUAUCUCUCAGUCUAAAGUUGUACUAGUUUGAUUCACAAACUUUUCUAAAAAGUUUUUUUCUGUUAAAGGAUGAAACACACACUCCAGAUGAAAAUGGAAAAACAGGACCAGAUGUGAAGCUGGGCUGUCUCCAUUGGCCUGUUUUUCCCAUAGGAAUCCAACUAAGGGACAAGAUCAUUACCCGUCUUAGAAGCAAUUGCUAGUUCAUGUCUUUGCUGCCUGAGGGUGGCAGGCAGACUCCCCAGGGCCCUUCUUUCUGACCAAGUGAGACCCUGCAGUUCAGAAGCCCGGGUCUAGCUGAAGAGAAAAGCUCUGUGAAAGCGUUGGAAGUGAGCUGGGGGGCAAGGACAGCACAAGCUGAACUAUGUGUAACAAAAUUGGUUGGGGAAUAGGAGAGAAAACUUCCAGGAGUGGUCUCUGAUUUCUCGAGUUCCAUAAACUUCUCCUUCAGUUAAAGGAAGUAAAACCUCGUCUCAGUCUAGAGAUCAAGCUGUAUCUAAUCCUGGCAGAGAUCAUAAUAGCAGUACUGUUUAACUUUUGCUGAUGAACAAACUUUUGAAGAGACGAAGGUGCGUGACCUCCAGCUCACCAGGACACAUCUGUUACUUGUUUGAGUGAAAGUGGUGAUCUCUAGAGGCCUCUUAUUAUUCAGCGUCCAUUCCUGCAUUAUUCUAUGUAGAGCUGUGACCAAACCACAUCUAUCUAAAACUCUCCUUCCAUCCCAACGCUCCAAACACUUUUUCUGAAUAACCUAAAUAAAUUCUUAUUCUAUAGCUCUUUAGCUUACAGGCAGGCUGGAGAGCAUUGAAGAAAACACCUUACUAAUAAAUACAAUCUGUCUAAAGAAAAAGAAUAAUUUUUAUAGACUUCUACUUUUUUCUUUUUCAAAUGGAGGUAGUAGAGGCUAAUGUUUCUCUUGGAAAGGUAUUGUAAUGAGUCUUGUUUGUUUGGUGUGUGUGUGUGUGUGUGUGUGUGUGUGUGUAUACAGGUGGCUGGAGAUUUUAUGGAAUCAAGAAAGGAAAACUGAAAUUGUUCUAUGAAAUAACAUUAUACAGCACACCCUUCCUGAAACGGAGAAACUGUGCUUCAUUGGGGAGCAGUUUUCUUUUUUAUUACAAAGUUACACCGCUUCUUCAAGAUUCAUCAGGCAUCACUAAAAGAUGUUCUUGUGUUCUCAGAGUCUGCCCACUCAUUAGAUAAGCUUUGAGCG